rnacentral:lncRNA from 1 species
CUGCGCCUGCAGACAUGAACCGGACUAGUGGACAAUGUCUGCACUCCGAUGGGCAGCACUGGAGACAGCACCUGCUCCCCUCCUGCUCCCGCUCACACCCAGGAGACCCUCAAGGCGCCUCCACAGAAACCCAGGAGGGAAGACGCUGGUGUCGGGAGGAUUGAUUCCCUUCCGUCUGGAACAGCCUUGCUUCUGCCAGGCGGAUUUCUACUCUCGAGGUUCUAGCCAGCACGCCACCUCCUCUGCGAAGUCCCUUCUGGAGUCUUCGAAAUCCUUCCCUGUGGGCAUCCCCCCUACACACACAUACGUGGUUUUUACUAUAAAAAGCCACCUUUUCAAAUCGUAUUGCACACCUUACCUAACAUUAUCUCCCUCAGCAGACAGCGAAUGUGUCCAUGCUAAAGCUUGUGCCUUCCUGGUCUUUAGAACAUUCAAGAGCCUGGCGCACAGCAGGGCCUCCUAGAGCCUUUGUGGAGCGGAUGAAUGCAGCCCGCAGCCAUUGGAUGGGGGCCGUGCAACGCCUAAUGAAAAUCAUCAUGCUCAAUUAUCGGCUUGUGGCACAUUUCCUAGUUUUGUUUGCCCAGAAAAAAGCAAACCGUCAGCGCACUAGGGUUCAUCGA